rnacentral:misc_RNA from 1 species
GAUGAAGAACGUAGCGAAAUGCGAUAAGUAGUGUGAAUUGCAGAAUUCAGUGAAUCAUCGAAUCUUUGAACGCACAUUGCGCCCCUUGGUAUUCCAUGGGGCAUGCCUGUUCGAGCGUCAUUUGUACCUUCAAGCUCUGCUUGGUGUUGGGUGUUUGUCUCGCCUCUGCGCGUAGACUCGCCUCAAAACAAUUGGCAGCCGGCGUAUUGAUUUCGGAGCGCAGUACAUCUCGCGCUUUGCACUCAUAACGACGACGUCCAAAAGUACAUUUUUACCCUCUUGACCUCGGAUCAGGUAGGGAUACCCGCUGAACUUAAGCAUAUCAAUAAGCGGAGGA